rnacentral:rRNA from 1 species
UGGGGAAUUUUGGACAAUGGGCGAAAGCCUGAUCCAGCAAUGCCGCGUGUGUGAAGAAGGCCUUCGGGUUGUAAAGCACUUUUGUCCGGAAAGAAAUCCUUGGCUCUAAUACAGUCGGGGGAUGACGGUACCGGAAGAAUAAGCACCGGCUAACUACGUGCCAGCAGCCGCGGUAAUACGUAGGGUGCAAGCGUUAAUCGGAAUUACUGGGCGUAAAGCGUGCGCAGGCGGUUUGCUAAGACCGAUGUGAAAUCCCCGGGCUCAACCUGGGAACUGCAUGGUGACUGGCAGGCUAGAGUAUGGCAGAGGGGGGUAGAAUUCCACGUGUAGCAGUGAAAUGCGUAGAGAUGUGGAGGAAUACCGAUGGCGAAGGCAGCCCCCUGGGCCAAUACUGACGCUCAUGCACGAAAGCGUGGGGAGCAAACAGGAUUAGAUACCCUGGUAGUCCACGCCCUAAACGAUGUCAACUAGUUGUUGGGGAUUCAUUUCCUUAGUAACGUAGCUAACGCGUGAAGUUGACCGCCUGGGGAGUACGGUCGCAAGAUUAAAACUUAAAGGAAUUGACGGGGUCAUAGCUGUUUCCU